CUACGGGGCGCUCCAGUGGGGAAUAUUGCACAAUGGGCGAAAGCCUGAUGCAGCAACGCCGCGUGAGUGAAGAAGGCCUUCGGGUCGUAAAACUCUUUUCUUGGGGAAGAAAUGGUGACGGUACCCAAGGAAUAAGCCCCGGCUAAUUACGUGCCAGCAGCCGCGGUAAUACGUAAGGGGCAAGCGUUAUCCGGAAUCACUGGGCGUAAAGGGUGCGUAGGUGGUCCUGUAAGUCAGAAGUGAAAGGCUACGGCUUAACCGUAGUAAGCUUUUGAAACUGUGGGACUUGAGUGCAGGAGAGGAAAGUGGAAUUCCUAGUGUAGCGGUGAAAUGCGUAGAUAUUAGGAGGAACACCAGUGGCGAAGGCGACUUUCUGGACUGUAACUGACACUGAGGCACGAAAGCGUGGGGAGCAAACAGGAUUAGAUACCCGAGUAGUC
rnacentral:rRNA from 1 species